rnacentral:rRNA from 1 species
CAAUAGCGUAUAUUAAAGUUGUUGCGGUUAAAAAGCUCGUAGUUGGAGUUCUGCCAGGUGCCGCCUGUCCGCCCCAGUGGUGAGUACGUGGCGCGCAUUUGGCCCUUUCAAGGGGAGCGUAUCUGCACUUUAUUGUGUGGUGCGGGAUCCUUGACUUUUACUUUGAGGAAAUAGGAGUGUUCCAAGCAGGCUCUCGUCGUGCACAGCUCAGCAUGGAAUAAUAGCAUUGGACCUCGAUUCUAAGCUGUUGGUUGCCAGAAGCGAGGUAAUGAUGAAGAGGGAUAGUUGGGGGCAUUCGUAUUUAACUGUCAGAGGUGAAAUUCUUGGAUUUGAUAAAGACGGACUACUGCGAAAGCAUCUGCCAUGGAUGUUUUCAUUGA